UUCGGAGGCGUUACACAGGUGCUGCAUGGCCGUCGUCAGCUCGUGUCGUGAGAUGUUUGGUUAAGUCCAGCAACGAGCGCAACCCCUGUUGCCAGUUACCAGCACGUGAAGGUGGGGACUCUGGCGAGACUGCCCAGAUCAACUGGGAGGAAGGUGGGGACGACGUCAGGUCAGUAUGGCCCUUAUGCCCAGGGCUGCACACGUACUACAAUGCCCAGUACAGAGGGGGCCGAAGCCGCGAGGCGGAGGAAAUCCUAAAAACUGGGCCCAGUUCGGACUGUAGGCUGCAACCCGCCUACACGAAGCCGGAAUCGCUAGUAAUGGCGCAUCAGCUACGGCGCCGUGAAUACGUUCCCGGGUCUUGUACACACCGCCCGUCACAUCAUGGAAGCCGGUCGCACCCGAAGUAUCUGAAGCCAACCGCAAGGAGGCAGGGUCCUAAGGUGAGACUGGUAACUGGGAUGAAGUCGUAACAAGGUAGCCGUAGGGGAACCUGCGGCUGGAU
rnacentral:rRNA from 1 species